GAUGAACGCUAGCUACAGGCUUAACACAUGCAAGUCGAGGGGAAACGACAUCGAAAGCUUGCUUUUGGUGGGCGUCGACCGGCGCACGGGUGAGUAACGCGUAUCCAACCUGCCCACCACUUGGGGAUAACCUUGCGAAAGUAAGACUAAUACCCGAUGAUAUCCCACGAAGGCAUCCGAAUGGGAUUAAAGAUUUAUCGGUGAUGGAUGGGGAUGCGUCUGAUUAGCUUGUUGGCGGGGUAACGGCCCACCAAGGCAACGAUCAGUAGGGGUUCUGAGAGGAAGGUCCCCCACAUUGGAACUGAGACACGGUCCAAACUCCUACGGGAGGCAGCAGUGAGGAAUAUUGGUCAAUGGGCGAGAGCCUGAACCAGCCAAGUAGCGUGCAGGAUGACGGCCCUAUGGGUUGUAAACUGCUUUUAUAAGGGAAUAAAGUGGGUCUCGUGAGACUUUUCGCAUGUACCUUAUGAAUAAGGACCGGCUAAUUCCGUG
rnacentral:rRNA from 1 species